GUGGGAAAGGAUCUCUGGAGAUCCCUUCUCUGGAGUUGUGCAGCGAGACCAGGAUGUGGCUUGACUUCAGUGUGACCACCCCAAGAACUGUAUGGUUUCAGCAAAUAUUGGUGCCAAAGCUGUAGCACAAAUUAGUCUGCAGAAGAUGCUGCAAGGAGACCCACCUUGUGCUCUAUGGAAGCGACCACUGUCAGGGGAAUGCACCCUGAUGUACUGGGAAAAUAAGGGGCCUUGUGGACAGCAAUUACAAAUACAACCACUGCAGAGUGCCUACGGCUCAAAGACACAGCAAACAAUGACCCACUAUUUAACCUGGGACUUGGGUUACUUUACAAUUAAAAGUAAAACCAUAAGAUGUUGUCCUGCCAGCAGUCCCACUGUCUACCCGCCUCUGCAGACAAGCUGAUAAACCACAGGAGUGGAUACAAUUGUGGACAGAAUAGGGAAGAGAACAAACCUACCUACAAGAAAACAAGAGUUUCUUAAAAGCCUGUAAAAAAACUUAGGUAUCUGUCCUCCCUUUUUGGAUAGUACCUAUCAGAACGUUACUUCUAUCCAAGUAAUUUGUCUUUCUUAUGACCUUGGAUGACUGCGCUAACACUCAGCUCCAUUAUGACAUUCAAAGCCAUUCUAUAUUACAUUGCAGCAUUCCAGAAUUUUCUGAUUAGCCAAACAGCAGAAGACAAGCAGCAGAAUCUAUCAUAAUCCUGAAAAUAUACUGUUAUGACACUAUCAUUAGCAUGUAGUUAUACAGUAGGAAAUAACACCAUAAACAAGGACUGCUAUGAGUAUUUUCUGAAAACUCAUAUUCUGCUGUUCUCCCAACCUCUGUAGAUUUUCACACCAACAAUAGCUGUUCUUUUCAUUACGGCUCUGGUCUGUGUGACCGAUUUCUUAUUCUGGGCUGAAAAGCAAGCCGAUUGGCUACAUAAAAUGCUGAAUACCAUAGCAACUGACUUGCAACCUUGCUAGCAUGCAGGAAGGAUUUUGUACUUGAACGAGAGCUACAAGUGAAAACACCAGGCUAAGAGCAGACCUGACGUAACAUCAGCAAUGCAAUAGAACAACACAAGGCAUUUAACCUCUCCCUAAUCUUUCCCCAUUCAUACCUUUCAACUGCAAAGAGCAGCAGCAAAUCUUCAGAUUCUCAUUAAAUACAGCCAACAAGGAAAAAUGCAUGCUAAGGUAUUGAUUCAACAUAUAGAUCUACCCAGUGCAGACUCUCUGCCAAAACAAAUAGGAUUAAAUAUUGAAAAAUCAAGUCAUGGAAACACAGCAAUAAUAGAUGUUGACCUUUAAUUUUAAUUAAUAAUCUUAUCACUCAAUAUUGAAAAAGAUUAGAAGUUUCUAAAGAAACAUCUCAAAAUAUAUUUAACUCUGCAUUGUCCAUGUUAAUGGCUACUUUUACGAACACAUCAAAGUAGACAAAUGGCUACCAGUAAAAACAAUCAUUUAAUGACAACACCCUGUAAAAUCUGCAUCAGGUUUACAAAAGAAAUAUAGGAAGCAGAAUAUUGCUCUAGAAAAACAGCAAGAGGCCUUCUACUUCCGGAAAGCAACACUCUUUUAGAUACAUGAAGCUCACUGUGUUUAGGCUUUAUAGGCUGAGAGAAAACCCAUCUUCAUCAUUCUUUGUGCACUGACUGAAAAGGAAUUCAAAACCUACUAUGAAAGUAAUAUAUCAAGUGAAGAGGACCAAGUACGAGACCAACUGCACAGCUACCUACAGUGCUUUUAAACUAGACAUGUGAGUGAAGUACAUAACUCUAUAGCACCAGAUUAAGUUACUUGACUCGACAGGCACCAUUCCCAGUGAGCUCCCACUGAUAUUAAAGAGUGCCAUCAGCCACCCACACUCACAAAAGUCCAAAUUCUUGCUUGUAUUAAAAUGAGGGGAGGGGCCUUUACCUUCCUGAAUGUGAAAAUACUAACUACCAAUGAAAGAAAGAGCAUUAGUGGGAUUGUGACCUACUGAUUUAUUUGUCUCUGACAGAAAAAGACAAAAAAUUCUUAAGAAUCUUUGACCCUCAAAUUCAGGCAGCCUAUCAGGGAGUUUACAAUCACAGGAAACACUUUCAUCAGCGAACAGACAUACGAAUUAACGAAGCAUAAUUGGGUUUUGGAAUUAAUUUCAUUGUACUGGUAAACAGCUUGACAAGUUCUACUCAUGUUGCUGAAAUCAGGCACAGUUGUUUUAAGUCUGUGAUGUAUCAGAACUCAGACAUAAAAUCAGCCUAGUUGUAAAUAAACAUUUGCACUCAGGACAUAGGUAACUCCAGGUAUAGCUGCAUCUAUAGUAUGUAGGAUGUAUGUGCACUUUGUUACAUGCCACUGAUACAUAUGUACCCAAAUCAGAAAGUAUGCAGACACCUUAAACAAAGGCCCUUCUUCUCAAAAUGUGGAAUUGUUGUCUCACUUUGAAGUCACACUUUCAUUUAGUUCACAUUCUGUUAAACAGCGCAGUAUCCUCCAGCUUGGCAGACCUUUGCCAUUUUUCUAUCUCAAACAGAAACAUGAAAAGCAAGACAAAGAGAAUUCUGUUUCUCUAGAUUUUAUGAACACAGAAAACAUCCAACGUUUCCCUUACCCAUCAGCUAACAGCACCUGAAGGGUAGAUCAUAACAGAAGGGAUAACAGAGGGGAUAACCCCCGUAACUCCAACUUUCAGAAUGAGAUAGUUGAGUUUGUUUUGAAGCAAGGAGUUUUUUUUUUAUUUGAACUUUUAGCUAGUAAUUCACACACAGACAAUAGCACUUGUUUUCUGGAACAUGCAAAAUGGUCCUCUGUGUUUAGUACUACUUGCGCAGACACAUUGUCUAAAAAGGCAACAUAUAUAUAUACUGACAUGUAGCUGUAAAUAUAUCCCUUUCACAUACAGGAUCAAAUUUUGUUCUCAUACCAAUAAGUUUAUUAAACUUGAGCUUAAGUGAUGAUUUAUUAUUACCAUUUCCCAAAAACAUAGUAAAUUUCCUCUGAAGAGCUUAUCUCUUAACUUAGAAACGAAGAGGAAAGACAGGAAAACAGGCCAGAAGUAUGUUUAUUCAUUCUGUGUACACACACACACACACACACGCACACACACACACACACAUACUCGGUCUUGCCUAUACAAAUUAGAAAACGUAGAUCAAGGACAAUAAAUUAUUCUAACAGCAAAGGUCAGUCUAAAAGAGGGCUGGGAUACAAUUUUUUUCUUUGACCUCAGCUCUGAAAGAAUUUUUCCAUGCACAAAAUGGCAUGAAAGAAAUGACAAAGAUACAGUACUGCAGCAGAGAUUCAGUGAAGGACAUAAUGAUAAGGCCAGGAAAUUAGUCCCAAGACAGGAUACGAAAUGAAAAAGUACCCUAAUCACUAAUGGUCAGACAAUGGCUCCAGUUGCAGUGUUUCAAAAACUCUGGCAGAGGGUAUGACAAAUGCUCAGAAAGCAGGAGAGGACGCUGCUGUUAUCCUUCACCCACAUAGCAGAAGGGCAUUACUUAAACAUAAGUGCUGAUACCUUUCUUGUAGUAAUAAUUAUUAUGAUAAAACAGGUAUUUCACAGAACUACCGAGGUUUCUGUAAAAAAAAUAAAUUUCAUGUGUACAUAUUUGCAUGUUAGGCUGCUUGAAGAGCAGCUGGAGGCAACUCAUUAAUAUGAAGAAAACUCAGAGCUAAGGCAGUAUAACUUGCUCCUUCAAUAAAUAAUAUUGAUGAUACAGCUAGGGCUCAAGAAAAGAAAUAUUAAACAUGAAAGGGAGUGUCUCAGUAGAAGCACAGUACAAUCUACUAAAAAAACACCCAUCUUCUUACAGUGAUCACUGCAAGAAAAUACCCAAACCAUCAUACAGAUGCACAGCACACCAACUCCUGUAUCUAUACGUUAUUCUUUCUUUUAUUCGGAAUGAACCCCAUUCCUUCCAACAAUAUUUAGACUUCUGAGUUCAAAAGUGAGUUGAUCUAGGCAGUUGAAUGUGCUUCACAAACCACAUAAGGGUGUUUGCCCAGUUAGUCUCACAAGAAGAUUUAUAAAAUGAGGAAUUCAAAAAACUGGUGGGAAAAAGCAGUAGCACAAAAGUACGUCAUCAGUCUGAAAACUGACAAAAUUCCCUAGUGUGAUACACAAACAUCAGCAUGACUGCAGAAGUAUGUAAUAUUAACUCUGCUUUCCCCAUUAUUAAAGUGAUAAAUCACAACAGUGAAUUUAGCACGUUUGACCAAAGACAGCUGUAGUGUUAGUGGGUAUGUAUAGAAAGUCAGAGUCAUUUCAUGCAGUUUUCCACAGUCCAGUUAAAAAAAAAUUAACAAAACAGAUGGCGUGUAUAACGGAGUUGCUCAGCAGGUGAGAGACAGAGAAAGAAACAAUAGAGAACAGGCUACAUGGCUUUAAUUUUAUUGUAAAUUCUUGGGGUUUGCAUCAUGUUUGGAAAAUCUCAGGCUCCAAAUAGCAAUGCUUUGUACAUGCAGCAUCCAGAUGUGCCACUUCCUCUAGGAGACAGCUGUUUUCAAAAUCACUUUUAUUCACUGCUUGUAAAGCAACACAGUACAAUGGAAGAACUGUACACAUCUGUGUUAGAUUUGCUAUUUGUGGCUUCCGUGGUCCGUUGUCAUAAGGGCUGCCCUGCAACCAGCCAUCUGGGAUGAAAACGGAAGUUAUAGGCACCCUUACCUCCAGGUCCAUCUUCAGAAUCAACCUCAUAGAUGCUCUCCCCUUCCAUGCUGUCUGUACACCCAGCAGAAAACAAGAUCUCUCACAGGUGACUUGCUCAGGAUCCAGAAGGAAGCUGAAUCCACCCACUCUGAAGCCAGCAAAUGAUAUCUUUCAAAUAAAAACAUAAAAAACAAAGCCAUUGAUCCACUUCAGGUAUACAAAGGAACAGUCAUUUCAUUUUUCCCUCAAGCCCCCAGUGUUUCAAAACUGAAUGUCAGUUCAUUUCAAGUCCAAUAUCUGAGGACUUUAUAACAAAACAGAAUAAAACCUGUAACCCACAUAGAGCACUUGCAUCAGCCCAAAUUCCAGGACUACACUGAGAUGAAAGCCUCAGCACAGAUUCAUGCUACUUUUCAUAUGGACUGACAUGACUAGAAGUGGGCAACAUGAAGCAAUAUACUACCUAUCUCCAGGACUAGCUCUUCUCUGCCAGCAAAAUGAGCUCAAAUAACACACAGGUUACAAACAGCAGCACAGUAUGAAAGUGCAAUCAUAUGAGCUGGCUUUCUUAAGACUGCACUUUGGGUCUACUUUAAAAUUAGAUAAAGAAAGCAUCUCAGUUUAGUAACGGACUCCAUUUGCAGAUGAAGGUAAAGAAGAGUGUAAAGAUGAGUGUGGACAAUGGAAGAACAACAUCCCUUGGUAUGUUUAAGAGAAAGACAAAUUAAGGGAACAGUACUCUUUCAUCUGAACCAAGCCUAAGCACCUACUUGUUUUUCUAUUACUCUGCUCCAGUGUCGCAAGUUUUUACCAUCUCCUCCUUUUAAACAAAAAUCAAUUUCAAUUAAUUUACCAUGAAAAUAAAAAGUGCUAAUGAGUCAGGAAAUAUCCACAUAUCAGUGCCUCUGAGCGGAAGAGACAAAAAGCAACUACAACAACAUGGAGCUGCUAGAGUAGUUGUGAAGUGAGCAGAGAACUGUUGCACACUGGAUGCUCAUGAUCCACACAGCUAAGACAGAUGGAAGAAAAAAAAAAAACAACAGAAAAAGCCAUCAAAAAAGAGUACAGAGGCCUUUUUCUGUCACAGAUGAAUUUGGACAGGUCAAUAACAUAGAAUAUGAUGUGAGAUUGAUGAUCAAAUACAUGAAUGGUGUGAUACAAAAACACAGUUCAAGUACCAUCCCUACCCUGGAGCUAGUUACAAAGCAAUGCACUGACUGCCUGCUUUCCAGUUUCAAAUGAGUAAAUAAUUUUUAUUUGCAAGCCUGUGGCCUUGUUUUUCACUUUUCCAUGUUAUUAGGACUACACUGAGUGUCCAUGGCGCUGCACUUCAUAUAAAGGGUGGAAAAGGGAAAAAAGAUCUGUAUACACAUGAACAACCCUGUAUGUUUUGUUCGUCUCCCUUCUUCAACUUCUAUCAACAAGAAAGCAGUAAAUGCGAUAAACAAAUCUGCGUUCAGACAUCCAGUAAAAGAAAACCAAUUGCUCAAGAACUAUGUCAUUUUGUUGAUAAAAAGAAGGGCAUACCUAGAAGCUUCACAUCAGGUGACCUCUAUUUCUUCAACUUCUUCAAGCAUUUCUCUCAGCAUCUGCAUGUUUUGGUCGAUUUUCCGCUGAUUGAGCCAGUGCAGGUGUAUGCCAUGUAUCAGAACAUGCAUGGCACUGCAAAACACUGAGCACACCUUCCAUGGAGUGAAAACUGUACUGCAAUCAUCUUAUGUUGCUGGUGCCUCCCCUCAAAGUCGCAUCGGUGAUUCAAGGUUGUUUUGAAUCAAGUUAUGUUUUUCAGAUGUUGUGCUACUGCAAUUUGAUGAGGCUGAGAAUGGAUCCACGAUAAUGCUGUUUUUUAAUGAUGAAGUAUCCUCUGCAAAUAUUUCAGCUGGUAAAAAGAAUCCAUACAUUUCUAGCAAUACAAAAAUACUUACCAAAUAGGUAACUGGAACAAUGUGUCAAACCUUCAGCAAACUUUACAAGCUUAGUUCUCUUAUUAAAGUAAGAAAGGUCCUCCAGUUUCCCAGAUUUUGCAUCAAGAGCUGAGAUACCAAACAGACUUAAAGUAAAAAGUCAGCACAAUAACACACUUCUUUGAUACUGACCCAGUCCCAACCACCACUUACUGUGGGCAGACUUCUUCAAACUGCAUUACUUACAACGUCAUAAAAACCCAACUUCUAGGAUUUGGCUAGAUAAGACUUGGCCCAGAUGUACAUUGCCAACUUCCACCUAGAAAUCACCGUCUUUUCAGGUAGUCUACAGGAAAGCGUUCAUCUCCCCUCAUUCACCUCCAUUCUUUUCUCUCUUCCUACUGCAGAGUGCACAGAUGGAGAGACUGCUCCCCCUCCCUGCUCACCAAACUUUUCUGUUUGCUGCAAGGACCCUUUUUCAGUAUUUUGCACCAGGGAUCACUGACGAAUGGUUCUAUGUGGAGAAUAUGAGAACAUGAGAAUUAGGUGACUGCAGAGAGUGACUUUGCAAGGCAUCAGGAAUACGGAUAAUAGCAAGAAAAAUUCAAAAGGAGUAGUAAAACAGGAGUAGAUUUCUAGCACUAUUAGGUUCUUAUACCAACCCCAUCAAAGCAUAAAAGUAAAACUGAUCAGAUUUGUCCACCUACUAAUAGAAGAGAAAAAGGAGUAGGGGAAAAACAAAAACUUGAAAAUCUGAAUACUGUGUCAGUAGAGAGGAGGCCCAUGCAAGAUUUCCUUCUGAUAAGGUUCGGCUCCUUCAAAGCCUCUGGUGGAUCUACAAUGACACAUCAGAGAUACAUCUGUCCUAGUACUGUGCCUCUGCAGGGAGCCAGCCACAUACAAGGAGUCUUGCUCAAUAAGCUAUUUGUGCUUUCUCUUCAUUUCCCUCAUUCAUCAUAGGAAUUUAUUCAAGGUUAAUGAAUCAGUCCAAGCUUUGUUAUACAUAUUUAAGGGCUUUUCAAAACAGCAACCUACAUUUCAGAAAUGGUUGCAAAUUUUUUAUGUAAUAAUAUAUAUAAAAUAACUACACUUUAGUUAGUCCUGCAGCCAUACCCUAACAAGAAAUCUUCCUGACUACCAGACUUGAUAAUCAUAAUUCCAUCUAUCAGGGCUUCCAGUAAGACUGUUUUAUUAUUCAGAGAAAGUCUAGAUUGAAUUGAUUUACCUCAUUUCACCACAAAGUUGCAUUUCUGGAGAUAUCUCCAUAUGGAAAUCCUAAGAAGUCAAUUUUAUUUUGUAUUUUACAGAUUUUAUAGACGUGCAUUUUUAAACGCUGACAAAAGUCAAUUUAGGAUACCUUCAAUUAAGCUCCAGCUAAAGAUUCUGUAAAAUGAGAUCAAGUGCUAACAAAACAGAUAUAGCCGUGAAAGGAGAUCCAUAUAUUCUAAUCCUACAAAACACAGUUCAGGGAGGGAACAGGAAUCAGUGCCAACAGAUAGAUUUCACAACUUCAGUCCUCCAAAACAUCCAUCUGAAUUGAAAAAAGUGAGCCCUAAGCCUGAAGUAAUUUAUUUAUGCACAUUUCCUUUUUCUUAUCUCUGCCUAUGGCAGGUACAAUAACUUUGAUAUCCAUAGGAACAGUGGAGGCCAAGGUAAUGUUCAUAAAACCACCUGAGGAAGGUGAUUACGACCUGAAAACACACAUUACCUAUCGUGAUUUCUGCUCACUCAACUGAACUAACUCAAACAUGGAGGGCAGGGGCAUGGGAUUAUGUAACAGAAAGAAUUCCUUUAAAGACAUGACUAAGGAGCCGAUUUCUGUACUUAACUUUUUAUUUCAUAGUUACUACAAAACUGUAUUGCACCAGCGAUUCACAGAGGAGUUAAACAUCUUUGACAGUCACAUCAAUCAAUCGUGGUACACAGCACUCCUCUAUUAUCACAAAGCGUACCUUAAAAUGGGGGGGAAUGGGGAAGAUGGAGCAAAAGAUAACAGAACGGUAGGAUUUUUCUAUUUGUAGCAGGAUCAUCUAAUUUGAAAGAACAGAAAUGAUAUUCCACUCUUGUCAUAAGCAGAAAGAUCUCUGUGAACAUAUAGCAAAAACAAAGAACUAAUCAACUUAUUGAUCAUAAACAUUUGCCAAAAGCUGUACAGAAAACCUAUCAACAAAAACAGAUAAAGAAAAAAACAUAACAAGUAAAAUAAAGAAGCUUCAGAUCAGUAAUAACAUGGUUUCAUUUAGAAACUUGCAGUGUAAAAACAAUUUGCUUUCCUUAAGCUUUAGCUGAAGCCCUAAAAUAAGCAUGCAAUGCGUACUAAGAAUGUUUUUCAUGUGCUUUAACAUUAAUUUCAAGAUAAUGCUGAAAAUAUGAAUUUAUGCCCAGCUGUGGUUUUUAUAACCAACCAAGAGAAAUUUAGUUUGUAUGCUAGAGCAACUGUGGAAAUCAAUUCUUAAUCUAUGACCUUGUUUACCGCAGCUUGAAGCCUUGCAAUAAAUAAAUGCCUUGAGCCAGAAAUAAGAAACAUUUGGCAAAUCAAAGAGACAAAUAACACAAAUCUAUAUGUGUAUAUACAGCAUUAGAAAGGUCAUAUAAAAUACAAUAUUGGCUCUUUUCUUGCUGUAACAUAAUAAUGUCUGAAAGGCAGGGCACAGUAAUUGGCUGCAUUAAUACCCAGGUGGUGAACGGAUGUGAGUACCUAUUUUCUUUCCAAGUGACAAUGUUCAUCUUUGUAGAGGACUUUGUGUUGCCUGAUGCUUUAUUGUUUUGUUGGUGGUUGUUUUUUUUUUUUUUUGUAACAAUAUUCUCCAAAAAAUAACCCAUUUCCUUUGUCUUAGAAGAUGUAAAGACUUUCUCUAAUGCACAUUUAAGCUUCCUUGUGAAAUUGCUCAGUGCUUCAUCACUCACAAUAGAAAAAAAAAGCAAUAAUAAUAAUGCCAGCGCUCACAUUUACUGCCCUCAGUCACAACCCCUUUUCUCCCUUGUAAGAGGAACCUCUCACAUUCUCACAUUACAUUAUUACUUGUUUCUCCAUAAGCAUUACUAAAACAAGUUUGACUUUAAUAGCGCUACUCACAGGAAUAUAAACUAAAAAUAUGUUUCAAUCUUAACACAACUCACUUUCUAAAAAGUACAUCUUCAAAGCCACAAUGUGAUGUAUCUGUUAGACUGCAGAAUUCAUCCAGGCACUUGCUUUUGAAAAGUGUUAAUACAAACUAGCACUAAUUCAGCUAACUUCUCUCCCUUGUCUCCUUGCUGCUACACUGGAAUUCAAAUGUGACUGUGACCGACACUGCUUUUUAAGAUUAAGCAUGGUAUUAUUAGCCUGCACAGCAGGUGACCAAAGUAACUGAUGGGAAGGUUCCCUUACUUUAACUCUAAAUAAAGCAUGUAAUCUAAUAAGAAAUGAAAGAAUUCGACUUUCAUAAUUAUCCUUGGAGUUUGACAUAGAAAAUUAGAAAAAUAAUAUAAAUCUGUCUUCAAAUAUAAUGAAAACUUCAGCCAGCAAAUCAGGAGACCAGUACUGAUCGAGUCAUAAUGCCACCAAAAGGUAAGUUCACCUUAAACUGAAAUUACGUGGCUCAUCAGCCAAUCAGCAUAGGCUGCCCCAUCUCACAUCCAUAAAAACAUCUCUGGAGACUUUUAAACUUGUCCCCAUAAGCAUGAUCUUUGUCUGCAAAUGUGGCUUUAUUCUACAGAAUUGUAAAAGACCACUGAGAUUAUCCAGUCCAACCAUCAACCCACCCCCACCAUGCCCACUAAACCACGUCCCUUGGUGCCAAGGUGUUACACGUUUCUUGAACACCUCCAGGGACGGAGACUUCACCACCUCCCUGAGCAUCCCGUUCCAAUACCUCACUACUCCUGAGAAGAAUUUUUUCCUAAUAUCCAAGAAGAACCAUCCCUGGCACAACUGAAAGCCAUUACCACAAGUUCUAUCACUGUUACCCGAAAGAAGAGACCAACCCCAACUUCACCACAACCUCCUUUCAGGGAGUUGUGGAAAGUUAUAAGGCUCAACCCUGAGCCUCCUCUUCUUCAGGCUGAACAAUCCCAGUUUCCCUCAGCUGCUUCCUAAAUGACUUGAGCUCCAGAUC